AAUCUAUCAACACUCCACAACACUGUGCACAAACCAUGUUGGCCUCGCCUCACGUCAUGUGAGGCGUUGGUCUUUUGCCAACCAACCAAAACCAAACCAAUAACCAACUAACAACUGAGGAUGCAGCUUAGAGCUUCAUCUUCGCAAACCAAGA
rnacentral:misc_RNA from 1 species